rnacentral:rRNA from 1 species
UACGUAGGUGGCAAGCGUUGUCCGGAAUUAUUGGGCGUAAAGCGCGCGCAGGCGGCCUCUUAAGUCUGAUGUGAAAGCCCCCGGCUCAACCGGGGAGGGCCAUUGGAAACUGGGAGGCUUGAGUAUAGGAGAGAAGAGUGGAAUUCCACGUGUAGCGGUGAAAUGCGUAGAGAUGUGGAGGAACACCAGUGGCGAAGGCGACUCUUUGGCCUAUAACUGACGCUGAGGCGCGAAAGCGUGGGUAGCAAACAGG